rnacentral:lncRNA from 1 species
UUUUUUUUUUUGUCGAAGUUGUGUGAUUAAUGUAAGACACCGCCACUUUGAGUUCUCGUUUCACGCUAUUCCUCCUAACACAUACCCUAAAUGUAUUUUCACAAAACUUUGUAUCAUUAGCUUGGAAUGCUAAUGCGGCAUCCAAGGAGCUAGGGAAAUCUCUCUCCUACAUGUGAUGCAUAUAACUCGGAGAUUGAUGCAACGGAAACAAGUUUUUCGCCUCGUAAUACUUGCCUAGACACAUUUUUCAGCAGUCAUAAAAUUUAUAAACUAAGUGUCACAGACAUGUUGAGUUGCUAUUCACGUGUUAUAAUAUUAUGUGUUCAAUUCUGAUAGAACUGAGCCAAGAAAAGAAUUACUACAUGAAAAUUAUAAUCAGAACAGCUUCCAUUACCUGUAGCGAUUACAUUACAACAAGGGUUUCUACCUGACAUAAUCUCAAACUCACUGCAUAGCCAGGUGGAAUACAAAAUUCCACAAAAAAUAGGCAACCUAACUAGAACUAGAACUAAUGAUUGUCCUACAAAAAUAGAACCUCCGGACAAAGCAUUCACUGGGCAGCUCAGUCCUCACUAAUACAAGUCCCACAUGAUGUCGGGAACAAAAUCCGGUGAAAGGUUAAGCCUCCUAGUACUCGUGUAGUUUGGUGAACCAAAUACAAUACAGUAGCACAAAAUGUCGGACUGUUCAACUGACAGCCUUUUAAUGGUGUUUACUGCGAUUUUCCUCCACAAUUCUCUGAAACUCUUUUUGGCUGGUGGAAAUGAGACGCUUGACCAUGUCGUAAGUAGUGAGCCUAAUGCUGCAGUUGAAAGAAGGAGAUUUCAUCAGCUAAUACAGUACGAGGCUUGAAGCACCGAUAGAUCCCCAAGCAUGGAACAAUUAUCAAAAUUGAGCUUAGGAAUGAGAUCAUUCGACAUAUACUUUUAACAUAAUGCAAGAGGGAAAAAAUAGACAGGGUGUGCAUGGAACCUGCUGUUCGGUAAAGUUUUCAAAGCAUUAGGCAAGAAACCCCUAUAUAAGCCUACAAGUCCAUCACGCUCCACAAUACCUGCACAAGAAACAUCAACUCAGAUCAAAGACUUUGACUAUGGACCUAAAAAUGUAACUUCAUUACAAACAGAGACAGAAGCAAAGAACAAGAUAAUAAAAUUUUCCUAUAUACUAUAACUUGAGUCCAACACACACAUACAAACCCGUUAAUAAGAUACAACAACAACAACAACAACAAAGCCUUUUCCCACUAAGUGGGGUCGGCUAUAUGAAUCCUAGAACGCCAUUGCGCUCGGUUUUGUGUCAUGUCCUCCGUUAGAUCCAAGUACUCUAAGCCUUUUCUUAGAGUCUCUUCCAAAGUUUUCCUAGGUCUUCCUCUACCCCUUCGGCCCUGAACCUCUGUCCCGUAGUCACAUCUUCGAACCGGAGCGUCAGUCGGCCUUCUUUGCACAUGUCCAAAUCACCGGAACCGAUUUUCUCUCAUCUUUCCUUCAAUUUCGGCUACUCCUACUUUACCUCGGAUAUCCUCAUUCUCAAUCUUAUCCUUUCUCGUGUGCCCACACAUCCCACGAAGCAUCCUCAUCUCUGCUACACCCAUUUUGUGUACGUGUUGAUGUUUCACCGCCCAACAUUCUGUGCCAUACAACAUCGCUGGCCUUAUUGCCGUCUUAUAAAAUUUUUCCCUUGAGCUUCAGUGGCCUACGACGGUCACACAACAUGCUGGAUGCACUCUUACACUUCAUCCAUCCAGCUCGUAUUCUAUGGUUGAGAUCUCCAUCUAAUUCUCCGUUCUCUUGUAAGAUAGAUCCUAGGUAGCGAAAACGGUCGCUUUUUGUGAUCUUCGCUAAAUUGCUCCGGUCAUUAGUGUGGAUAAGUAUAUAAAUGGAUAGAGAUAGGAAAAGCAAACACAAGAUGUAUGUGGUUCACCCAGAUUGGCUACGUCCACGGAAUAGAAGAGUUCUCAUUAAUUGUGAAGGGUUUACACAAGUACAUAGGUUCAAGCUCUCCUUUAGUGAGUACAAGUGAAAUGAUUUAGUACAAAUGACAUUAGAGUACAAAUGACAUUAGGAAAUAUUGUGGGAGAAGGAUCUCGUAAUCACGAAACUUCUAAGUAUCGGAGUGUGGUAUCAUCUUGACUUGCCUUAUCUGUCUCAUAGGUAGAUGUGGCAGCUUCUCUGGAAGUACUCUUCCUCCAUCCAGGGGUGGUAUCUAUAACUGGUGGAGAUGCACAAGGUAAUGUAUCAAUGUCACUUGAAGCUUACUUGUAGUUUCAGGCUUGGUCAAGCGCGAUACAAACCAUGUAGUAGGAGUCCCCCAAGUCGCCGAGCUAGGGGAUUUGCUGAAAGAGGUGACAGACAAGGUAAGCAAUCAGAGCUCCGGCUGAUUGUUCACCUUCUCCCCAUCUUGCAGCAGCAUGAAGGAUAAAGAGAAGAAAAAUGAGAAGAGAUGAUAUGGGAUACUUUUGCUUUUGAAGAAGUAACUUUCCACAGGCUUAUUCUUGAACUGAGCUGGAGGGUUUUUCUGGUUUCCUCCAGAGUAUAAGGCUGACUGAAGAAUUUGAGGGUCAAAACAAGUCCAUCAAAUCUAGAGUACGUUCGACCCUGCUGAUAUGGGAUACUUUUGCUUUUGACAGAGUAAUGGAUGGAUCGGCACGUGUGCUGUUACGCUUGUCUCCACAUGCUUCCUUGUAUCCUUCGCACUUGCCCUAUCUGUUCCUCAAGCAGAUGCGGUAUCUUCCCUGGCAACAUAAGAUGUUGAAGAUGAGUACUCGAGAGCAAUGCCAGGUAAGUAAUCAGGUAAGGGGUUCCAGGCUGUCAGUUCCUGGCUGGGAGCUUGAUUUCAAGUGCUGACUGAUUGCUCUCUUUCUCCUUGUCUUGCAGGUAAAAACAAGGCCAAAGGAAAAGACAGGGAAAAAGCAUGAUAUGGGAUACUCUUGCUUUUAACCCUGAUGAUAUGAGAUAUUCUUGCUCUAGUAUAGCUUGUUUGCAGAGGUAUUAUCGGGGGGAAAGAAAGCUGAAUAUUUCGAAAGGCUUCGUUGGGAGUGCCCUCUCAGAUAUGAGGAAGGGUUGAGCAUUUUUGCAGGUCUGCCUGUCCGUUGGGGAUGGAGGUCGACAUAUAUAGGAGUCUCCCUAACAACAAGUAGUAAUGCUAUUCCUUUACCCUACUUGGUCAUAGCACGGUAGUGGGAGCUGCCAGCUUCACAUGUUUUAACUCUGUCAGAGCACUUUGAAAAAAGUGGUAUGUGGUAUCUGGCUCUCGAGAUUCGGAGAACGAUGCUUCUUCGAUUUUUGAGAAAGCAAUCAUGGUGGGGGUCUGGCUCUCGAGAUUCGGGGAGCAGUGUCUCUUCGAUUUUUGAGAGAGUAAUCAUGUUGGGAGUCUGGCUCUCGAGAUUCGGAAGGCGGUGCCUCUUCAAUUUUGGAGUAAGCAAUCUUGUUGGGAGUGUUUUUCUCGGAUGUGAGUAAAGGUUGGGCAUGUUUGCUAGUCUACCUUGCCACGAAGCACGGAGGUUGACACACAGGGACUUUCCAAUUAUCCAGCAGUGGUACUGUUCCUUUACCCUUGUGGGUAAUAAUAUGGUAGCUAGACCUUCAAAAUUUAUGUGUCUAAACUUUGUUAGUGCUGUUUCUUUGCUAUUCUUUUACCUUUCUUGGUCAGAGCGAUGUAGUGGGAGCUGCAAGCUUCACGUGCUCAACUUUGGCAGAGACUUUGACAAAGUUAUCUGUGGUACCCAUGAGCUAUUGUUGCGUGUGGGAAGUGGGUGAUUGAACAGUAAGAUUCAUGUGCUUUCUACUUCACCAGAAGUCUUCGACAGAAUGCCCAUAAUUUCCGCAAAGCUGAGUGUGCAUGUGACAGGUGCUGACAAGGCUAGAAAAGAAGGUGCCUCUUCGAUUUCUGAGAUCAGCCCUCGUGGUCUCUGAGCAGCCCAGCUUUUGAGAAAGCGAGCGCCUCUUCGAUUGAUUCGAAGAACGAUGCCUCUUCGAUUUUUGAGAAAGCAAUCAUGCUGGGGGUCUGGCUCUCGAGAUUCGGGGAGGAGUGUCUCUUCGAUUUUUGAGAAAGUAAUCAUGUUGGGAGUCUGGCUCUCGAGAUUCGGAGGGCGGUGCCUCUUCGAUUUUGGAGCAAGCAAUCUUGUUGAGAGUGUUUUCUCGAAUGUGAGUAAAGGUUGGGCAUGUUUGCUAGUCUACCUUGCCACGAAGCACAAAUGUUGACACACAGGGACUUUCCAAUUAUCCAGCAAUGGUACUGUUCCUUUACCCUCUCUUCGAUUUUUGAGAAAGUAGUCAUGUUGGGAGUCUGGCUCUCGAGAUUCGGAGGACGGUGCCUCUUCGAUUUUGGAGCAAGCAAUCUUAUUGGGAGUGUUUUCUCGAAUGUGAGUAAAGGUUGGGCAUGUUUGCUAGUCUACCUUGCCACGAGGCACAGAGGUUGACACACAGGAACUUUCCAAUUAUCCAACAGUGGUACUGUUCCUUUACCCUUGUGGGUAAUAAUAUGGUAGCUAGACCUUCAAAAUUUAUGGGUCUAAACUUUGUUAGUGCUGUUUCUUUGCUAUUCUUUUACCCUUCUUGGUCAGAGCGAUGUAGUGAGAGCUGCAAGCUUCACGUGCUCAACUUUGGCAGAGAACUUUGGCAAAGUUAUCUGUGGUACCCAUGAGCUAUUGCUGCGUGUGGGAAGUGGGUGAUUGGACAGUAAGAUUCAUGUGUUUUCUACUUCCCCAGAAGUCUUCGACAGAAUACCCAUAAUUUCCGCAAAGCUGAGUGUGAGUGUGACAGGUGCUGACAAGGCUGGAAAAGUAGGUGCCUCUUCGAUUUCUGAGAUCGGCCCUCGUGGUCUCUGAGGAGCCCAGCUUUUGAGGAAGCGAGCGCCUCUUCGAUUUCUGAGAUCGGCUUUCGUGGUCUUUGAGCAGCCCAACUUUUGAGAAAGCAAACACCUCUUCGAUUUAUGAGAUCAACCCUCGUGGUCUCUAAGCAGCCCAGCUUUUGAGAAAGCAAACGCCUCUUCGAUUUCUGAGCAGGCGCCUCUUCGAUGUCUGAAGCUCCGUCGAGUGCAGCUUUUUACAGGGGCUGGCAUUAAGUUCCAAAGCACACUUGAAUCUCCACCAGUAGAAGCUCCAUUCUUGCACUUCUAAGAUCUUGAUUUGUCCGACCUCUUCUCUCUUCAAUACCUUUUGAAAAUGUCUGGCCCCUCCGACCGUCGUUUUGACUUGAACCUUGUUGAAGAGGCAGCCCCGCCUUCUCCAGACAACAUAUGGCGCCCAUCCUUCGUCUCCCCUACUGGUCCUCUUACCGUUGGGGAUUCCGUGAUGAAGAAUGAUAUGACCGCUGCGGUGGUGGCCAGGCCAGGAACCUUCUCACUCCCAAAGAUAACAGACUACUUUCCAAACGGUCUGAUGAGUUAGCUGUUAAGGAUUCACUGGCUCUCAGUGUUCAGUGUGCAGGUUCUGUGUCUAAUAUGGCCCAACGCCUAUUUGCUCGAACCCGCCAAGUUGAAUCAUUGGCGGCCGAAGUGAUGAGUCUCAAACAGGAGAUUAGAGGGCUCAAGCAUGAGAAUAAACAGUUGCACCGGCUCGCACAUGACUAUGCUACAAACAUGAAGAGGAAGCUUGACCAGAUGAAGGAAACUGAUGGUCAGGUUUUACUUGAUCAUCAGAGAUUUGUGGGUUUGUUCCAAAGGCAUUUAUUGCCUUCGUCUUCUGGGGCUGUACCGCGUAAUGAAGCUCCAAAUGAUCAACCUCUGAUGCCUCCUCCUUCUAGGGUUCUGUCCAGUACUGAGGCUCCGAAUGAUCCCCCUCCGAUGCCUUCUCUUUCUAGGGCUCUACCGACUGCUGAGACUUCUCCUAAGCAACCUUUGUGAAGGCUCCAUCUUGUUUGUUUAUUUUGACUCAUGUAUAUGUACAUAUUUGUAGCUUAUCGGGGAUAUCAAUAAAUAAGUUUUUCUUCAUUUCAACGUAUUGUGUUAGAUACACCAAAGCCUUCUUCGCUAAGUUCUUUGAAUUUUCUUUUGUUGAAGCUUGUAUGUUGAAGCUUUCUGAGUGGAGCAUGUAGGUUGGGGUAGUGUUCCCUUAAUUUUUCGAGUGAGGAAAACUUCUCGGUUGGAGACUUGGAAAAUCCAAGUCACUGAGUGGGAUCGGCUAUAUGAAUCUUAGAACGCCAUUGUGCUCGGUCCUGUGUCAUGUCCUUCGUUAGAUCCAAGUACUCUAAGUCUUUUCUUAGAGUCUCUUCCAAAGUUUUCCUAGGUCUUCCUCUACCCCUUCGGCCCUGAACCUCUGUCCCAUAGUCGCAUCUUCUAAUCGGAGCGUCAGUAGGCCUUCUUUGCACAUGUCCAAACCACCGUAACCGAUUUUCUCUCAUCUUUCCUUCAAUUUCGGCUACUCCUACUUUAUCCCGGAUAUCCUCAUUCCUAAUCUUAUCCUUUCUCGUGUGCCCACACAUCCAACGAAGCAUCCUCAUCUCCGCUACACCCAUUUUAUGUACGUGUUGAUGCUUCACCGCCCAACAUUCUGUGCCAUACAGCAUCGCCGGCCUUAUUGCCGUCCUAUAAAAUUUUCCCUUGAGUGCCAGAUGGUAAAAAUAUUUAACAUCAUGGUUUUACCUGGAAUGGCAUCCAAAACCGUCUUGUAAGGUGUGCCCUUCAUUUGCAUCUGUCUUCUCACAGUAUCUAAAGGAUAACAUGUGAGUGUGGCAAGGGAAGCUGACACCAAACCCGUUAAUAGAGAUGCUUCAGCUUUCUUUUGAAAAUCUUCUGGUAGAGACUUCUUCACCCUGCAAUCCAAAGACAACUAUAACAAACAUAGAAUACAUUAUUGUAUUAUCCUUAUUGUGACAAAGAAUGAGGUACGAGUGGACUCACAAGUCAAAAAUGCAAAAGUUCACAGCAAUAUAUGGAGCAAUUCCGAUCAGAGAAGGUCCGAGACCAUAGUAGAAGGAUGCAACUCCUUCCUCUUUUAGCAUGUUUAAGGCAAUCUGGAAACAACACUUCGAAAUUCUUCUUUCAUGAAGAUAAUGGCAGCUAUUCAUAAAUAACACUAUCAGGUCAGUCAUACCUCAGACAUAGUUCGGUACCCUGGUUCAACUGCUAGGCGCAACCUCAGAACAUCCAAUGGGUAGGUUACCUACAAGGAGGAAAAUAGUACAUCUUUGAAUAGUUCGACAUAACAGGUAACGAAAAAAGGUAGAUAAAAAAACCACAAUAUUAAAGUCUACCCAUAGAGUAGACUUUAGAAGUAAAAUACAAGGUUUACAUGUUCCAUGGAGUACUACCCUGACUAACAGGUUUAUGAUAACACGAAAAGGCUCACCAAAUAAAAAUGUCGCAGUACCACAAUUGACCAUAAAUGUAUUACUCACAAAGGUGGAUGUCAUGCCAGCACAAGCACCUGCUGCAAGUCUUCCUAGAAGAGAUAGCUCACUAUCUUUGCCCCUAAAGAGUUUCUUCAAAAUCAAAUUACAAAAGAAGCUUUAAGUUCUGAAUACAUGGAAUGUUAUACAAACAUUUUCGUAAAGAGGGUUUCACUAUUACCUUAUAAGCUUCAUAAGCAAAAAGCUGGACAGCACUGUAAGGGAGAAUCCGUAUCACCUAAACAAUCAAAUGAAUUUUCAAAAAUUAAAUGCAACUCAAGCAAACCCCUUCCGUAGAGCAUGGGAAAGUAAUAUAACAAAAUGGGAAGUUUAAUCAGCAAAGAACCUGAGGAAGGUUGCCUUUCCAGUACCCUUUAAUCCCUUCUUCCUUCCCUAUCAUUGUUAUAGCCUGCAGGGUAUGGCCCGACAUUAAACAUGAGGAGGUGAUCAUACAGGAUAAUGUCAAAUGCUUCUAAAAGAUAUGUUAAUAAUAAAGUAAUAAAAUUUUGAAAGACCAUAAACUAUGCAACUCUUGAAAAGAUCUUAAAUCUACAUUAUGUAAGCCACAAAACCACAAUAUGAGAAAUUAGCGAGCAGGCAAUGGAGCUGAAUGCAUGACUGUAAGACAAAUGCAUAUAAUUUAUGAGGUUUUAAAAACUGGGCAGAGCCAGAGGAUGGUCCGGACCAACCAUAACAUACCUCGACAAAACUGAUAGCCUUCUUAGCGCUUUGUUGCCCAACUCGCACGCCAUGAGUCUGCAAAGAUGUGAACAUAUUUUCGAGUACUGAACAUUUCCAAUUAAACUACUACUUGAUUUAGAUCGAAAGCAAUAGCGAAGAAUACGAUUUGCUACUAAUAUACGGCCCUUAACCACAAUGCAAUUAACACAAUAACAAAUCAAAUAUUGAAUUUUUUUUUCCCCGCAAUCAGAAAUCUUUGCCUUCCUUGCAGCAAAAGCAACCACCCAGAAUUACUUUCGAAAAUUCCGGAGUAAUGUACUUUGUUCUAUGCUAUUUUCUCAAAUCAGCUACUUCCAAAAUUCACAAAUGCAAAUAAAAGUUUUAAAUUUUGUAACGAAUGCCUUCUUUAAUUUUCCAGAAGCAACAAAUUUUGAACAUUCUAUCUGUAUUUUCACCGACACCAGAAAGCAAAACGCAAAGGGCGGCACAAUCUCUUGCAUACGACGCCGUACGGAAGCAUAUCGAGUAAUAAAAUUGUGGGAAAUGUAAAAAAAUUAACGGCAGAGAGAGAGAGAGAGAGAGAGUUAAGAGCACCUGCAUAAGAAUCUUGAUGCGGUCGAGCGGAGCCGUGACGCUCUUAGCGGCGGCUCCAGCGACGGCUCCGGCAGCAAAUAGAGCAACGUCUUUGGGCACGCAUGCGAGAAUAGCCAACGGAUGCUUCAACAGCUGAGCCGAAGUCGGCGAAAACUCGUUCCUCUGUUCUCCCCUUUCCGCCACCGAAAUGCAGGCGAAAUUGAACCGAGUACCACCGCCGCUGCUGAAGCUGAGAUGCGCGGUCGUCCACAGCGGUUCGUAGUGGUCCGCGGCGUCGGUGAGGGCGCCGCGGGAGGCGUUGAGGCUCGGGAUGCUCCGCCAUGAUACAAUGGCUCUGGAGUCUUCGGCCAUGGCGCGGGAAUUUUGAAGAAGGGAGGUGGAAGAGUGAAGGGAUAAGGCGAAGGAGGCAGUUGCAGAGAGAGAGCAGAGUGCAGGGGAAGGCACACUUUGUUCCGACUCUCAAAUCUGUAGAGACAGGCGCGUAUAUGUUAUUUGCUAAUUUGGUAAGAAAUGCGCGUGUUCUAAAAAGGAGGCGACCUUUGGGGGCCUUGCUCAUUUGGUUAUAUUAUGUAUAAUUGGGCUUUGUAUUAAGAUGAAGGUUAAUCUUAUAAUGGACUAGUAAUAAUAUGAUUUAAAUUUGCUUUUGGUGAGAAUCAAACUAAGACAUUUUACUUACAAGUGAAGAGAAAUAUCAUUAUACCAUAAUGCUAAAUGUCAAUAUACGAGAAUGACUUCGAUGGACGGAAAAUUUUCACCACAUGACAUAUUUCUUCACAUAGUAAUGUAUUGUUGGAUUGGAAUAUUACAAUGACUAGGGCAGUUUGCCUUUUUAUUUUUUUUAUUUGAAAAACUAAUUUAUAUUUUUAUUAAAAAUUUAUUAAAAAGAAAGAAAUAAAGCAAAACCAUGAAACCUAACCACCCACUAAUGCGGGAGUUUUUGUUUUUCUAAAGUUUUAAAUUUAAAUUCAUUAAAAAUUAAAACGUGGUAAAUUAUUUUAAUUUUUUUAGUUCAAUUGUAAUUUUUGAAAUUCUUAAAGGACAAUUUAUAGUAUUUUGAAUGUUUCACCAUUUUGGGGUGCUCAAUUAUAUACAUAGACUAGCCUUUUGCCACAUGAAAACAUGAAACCUAGCCACUCACUAACGUGGGAGUUUUUUUUUUCCCUAAAAUUUUAAGUUUAAAUUCAUUGAAAAUUAAAAUGUGCUAAAUUACUUUAACUCAUUUUGGUUCAAUUGUAAUUUUUGAAAUUCUUAAAGGACAAUUCAAGGUAUUUUGAAUGUUUCACCAUAUUGGGGUGCACUUUAUAUAUAUAGAAGAUGAACUCAUUUCAUAAAAUUUGAGAAACUUUUUUAUGUUAUCGCAAUACUGUUCUUGAUUUAGUUGAUAACGUAUACUAUUUGUGUAGAGUUUAGUAGUUAGUAAUGACUAACAUGUUGUGUGGUUUAGUCCUUUUUUUGUCAACAGUUUAAGUGGGGUUUUGUGAAGAAGGGAAGAGGGGGUAGGGGAGCCUCGAACUCUAGUGAAGAGGGCCACAAGGGUGCUUGAUUUUAGGGUUCUUCAUACCUGGAUAUACCAGGACUCCUGUGCCCCGACUAGACCUGUAAACGGGUCGGGUUUAUCAGAUUUGGGUCGGGUUCAAUCUGACCUGUUAAGUUAACGGGUCAUCCGAACCCGACCCGUUUCACUCGUUAACACACGUUAACAAUUAUUAUUAUUAUUUUUUUUUGCAUAGAGUUUAUUUUUUGCAUAAGGUUAACGGGUUAGGUCCAAAAUGCCAGAUCUAGCCCCGACCCUUGAUUAGAUAAAGCUUCCCACCCUAUGACCCACAAUUAAUAAUGAGCCUUGCGACGAGGCGUGGAAAUUCCCCAUGCUACAGUUCCUCCCCCGUUUGUUCCUGAGUUGGGUUGGGGGACAUCCGAGCGAUUGCCUUCGUAGUUCCAAACGUGAUCACAAGAUGCACAAUAAAAAUAGGGGUGUGAUAUCCACACACCCUUUUUUACUUCUCUCACACUCUUUUAAUUUUCGGCCGUCGGACCGGAUGAAUUAAAGAAGAUCAAAUGACAGAAAUUAACAAGGAGUGUGAGAGAAGUAAAAAGGGGUGUGUGAAUAGCACACCCCUAAAAAUAAGACCAAUAAAGACUUCAAAAGGGACCAUUUAAGUUGCAGAUCGUAAUGCUCCUAGAAAGGCAUAUGCAGUAGCCCUCCUCAGCUUAGCCCUUCUCUAUAGUAGAAUACCUUGUGAGUUAAGCCAUUAAAAAUCGUGUAUAUGUCUCAUAUACGUUUAAUGACUUAUCUCAUAAAUUAUAAUAAUUUAGAAUAUCAAUCUCGUAUAAAAAAAUGCUUAAUUAUUUAAUGCUAUAUAGAAAAUAUAAACUGAUCAAUAUAUUUUGUAGCAUGUGGGUUAGUGGCUGUAUUAAAAGGAUGCACAACAUUUUUAUAUUAUGGUGGACAAAAAGGUAUAUCGGCAAUAUUUGUAUCGUGGUGGACAAAAAUUACUCUUGUUAAUAGUAUAAUAAUUAAUAUAGAAUCAAAAUAACAGAUACUUAGAUUGAAAAAUCAAUUAGAACUUACAAAUUUUGUCUCACAACCAAAAUAGCGAGAGAGAUUGAAUAAUCGAAGAGUAUGAACAAAUAAAGAUAUAAAUCGAAAAAUGAGACGAGUGAGUCAACUUGUGAACUAAAACUUAAGUAAAACCGAGUGGCUAUGCUUAUCUCUCAGAUGAGUCAAAUGAGAUAAGAAAUGGACAUAAAAUCGUACGUACUCAGUUGCAUAUAAGUUUCUUUGUUGUUUAUUAAACGAGCAAAAUGGGUUAAAUCUGGACUAAAAACAAUGACCUAACCCUUACCUUGUCCUUGAAUGAAAAAGGAGUUAGGCGGGCCCAACCUUCUGAAGCCCAAGUACAAAAAAUGAGCUGACCUAAAUCAUGGCACAAUGGAAUCCAUUCAAGAGGCCCAAUAGUAACCUUGAGUUCCCACCAUAAUCUCAAGUCAAUGCCUCUAGGGUCAGACUGGUUUUUUUUUUGGAUUGAACCCCAUGAAACUCUAAGCCAUCUUAAGGAAUGAACCCCAUGAAAUUCUAAGGCUUAGGUCAGAUUUGGUAUUGAGGUGAUUUUAAAAAAAUUGGGUAUGAAAAAAAGUUGGGAGAGUUUUUGGUGUUUGGUAAACACUCCAAAUCAGCUUUAUUUCAAAGUUUUAGAUGGAAAAAAGUUAAAAAUGGGAACCUAGAAUUUCUGAGGAAAUCUUUGUAUGAAAUCACAGUCUAUCUGCUAAAAUCCAAUCAUUUCGGCCUCUCGUUUCAAUCACUUUCAAAAUCUAAAGCAUGCAUUGUUUUGGUCCUUUUUGGCAACAUAUAUAUACAAGUCGGUUUGUAUCCUAGAUAUUGUUAACUAGGUACAGAAAAGAAAUUAAAGUGCUUAAAACAAGCGUUUUCCUUGAAUCAUACAAGAGUACAAAUAAAUUACAAAACCCACACCAAUCUUGAAUUUAUUUAUUCUUUUAUUGGAUUACAAAUCAAAGAAAUGGACCUCUAUGCCAUAUGCCACAACUUUAUUCAAAACAUGAAAUGAAAAAUCAGAUGAUAAAACAAUCUGAUCAUAUCGAUAUGGAGCUAUACAUGACAUAUAUAUUAUAUAGAUAUUCUGUAGCCGGUCAUCAUCAAGCUUCAACAGUGCUACCAAUUCGUUUUGGAUCCCCAAGCAAAACGAAAAUUGUUUGCGUUCAGACAGGCUCCAGAACACAAUCCGAAAUUGAACUAAUAUAACAAAGCUGCAUCCAUCCAGCCAAACCUGCUGAUCAAGGCUCAAUCUUUUGUAAUCGGGAAAUAAUGACCCCGAAACGCCAAAUCUGCUUCAAAACCAAUCAGUUGAGUUAAUUCAUGUGUUAAUUAACUUUAUAACUUGCUAGCUCGAAUGUAAAUAUUUGCGUUGAAGUAUCGUAAUGACCUUAUUACAUUUUAAUUAAGCUCCAAGAACUGCUCCAGUGGACGUUUGAAGUCCCGGGUGCAGGAUGUUCGAUUGAUCUAAAGGGAAAAAAAACUCAUGUUUUAGGUAUGAAGAAUUUUAAUUGUUACAUUAACAAGCAAAUUGGGUUGUUAAGUACUUACGAAGUGGAGAUUUGAUUACGAAGAAGCAGGCUGCAAUGAUAAUGUAGCACAGCAGAAGAACCAAUCCCUUCAGGUAGUGGGAACUGCCAUCCUAUAAAAUCAAGGAGAAAGUGAGAUAAAUGGUUGCUUGCCAAUUAAUGAAGGAAAGCUGAUUAGGUUAAGUUUAGCAAUAUUAGAUUGUUAAUUAAUUACCUGUAAUGUGAAGGCCACAGCAAGUAUUGAUAAAGCCAAAGAGCCAGUCUCAAUGACACUGAAAUUGAGAUCCAUGUUAAUUCCCAUUAUCCAAGCAAUGAUCACGCACAACGGAACCUGAAAGUUCAUUUAAAUGGCAUUAGAAAUUAAACUUGAAUCAAAUUUGAAAAGAAAAACUAGCAUUCUAUAUUCUUAGUGUAUAUAUACUUACCACAAACAUGGCAAUUUGAGUUGCAGACCCCAAAGCAACACCAAGAGUUAUAUCCUGUGUUUAUCCGAAAAAAUGUACUUUGAGAAAGAUUUCCAAAUAAAUAGUGGCAACAAAAACGUGCUGGAAAGAUUAAUCUUAAUUAUGCUUAGAAAUGCACUGAGAAACUAAUCAAUGCGAUUGAUUGAAGACUCACCAGCUUGUUCUUGAAAGCAAAUAUGAUUGCUCCUGCAUGUUCUGCUGCAUUGCCAACAAUUGGUAGCAAGAUUAUGCUGAUGAAGCUGACCGACAAGCCCCAAGAAUCUGCUGCUUCCUGUUGAAAAAAGUUGUGAGAAAGUUUACAUUAACAUAAUAAACAACAUAAAGUAACUAAUUCAAUCAUGGUGGUCUGACUUUUACCUCAAUUGUUCCCACAACAUACUCAGACAACAAGGCAAUGACAGCAGUCAUCCCAACCAGCCACACAAUUCCACUCCAGAACCCUAUAUCAGGUGUUUCUUCAACAACAUCAUCAUCGUCCGAUUCCUGAUCAUAACACCAUAAACAAAAUGGCUAGGUUAGUAAUUAUCAAUGCUGCCAAAAAUGUCCCGCAAAUUUCAGUUUCAAGAGUCUUGCAUUACAAUAUUCUACCCAUGCUUGUGGUGGAUCUGAACUACACAUUCAGGAAAGAUUCCGACAUAUUUUGUGGUCCAAAUUGGCAAAAGACAUUUUCCCACAAUUUCUUUAGUCGAACACCAGAUUGUGAGAUCACGAAAGGUGCAAUUAGAUCUAUUAACUUAAUUAAUUAAUUACCUCCUGAGCUUCAAAUAAUUCACGGUGUGUCCACAGCUGGAAAACUAUGUACGCAGCGUAAGCUAAGAGCAUCACAAUGCUGCUGGCUCUGGACAAAUGGAGUGUGGGGUCCACUCCCACACCAGUAGAGCUCCCUGUAGCAGCAAACGUGAACAGCAUUGGCAGCAAGUGGCACAACACAGCCAGGAGCAGCAUGAGGGAGUUCACGUCAGCUUGUCUCUGCAUGAACAACAACCAAACGACAUAUUUUAGAUAAGCAUAAAAUGAAACCAUACACAAUCCAGGAUAAGGAUAAGUUUAAAAAUGAAGAGACAAUUGUUGGACUGUUAUCCAAACUUAAUACGUCGACUUCCAACAUUUAUAAAUUUCACCGAACAACGGCCAUAACAUUUAUACAAUUCAAUUGAAAUAGUCUAGUUCAAGCCGAGCCAACUUACCCUAUCAUAUUUUUGUUCUUUUUUCAUGUUGGCAAUGCCACCACAAAAGAGAGAAGUGCCGAGGACUAAGAGAAGAUUUGAGAGAAUGGAACCCAGUAGAGAGUACUUCACCACUGCUACUUUGUGUUGGGCUAGGGCAAAUAUUGCAAUUAUGAGCUCUGUAGCAUUGCCACAGGUCGCAUUUAGAAGGCCUCCCACUGCAAACCCCAAAAUAAAUAAAUUAGAAUGAGAUAAAUCGAUCAUUUUCCGUACGUAUAUGAGAAAUUCAUAAAUCUAAUUCCUUCUUGUCUUGCCCUUUUGUGUACUUAUAAUUACAUAUAUGGUAGGGCAAAUAAUAAGAAUGAAAUGAAUUACCUGUUGGACCGGUGUAAUAAGCAAUUUGUCUGCAUUUUUGGGAAAAGAAAAGUACAAAGUUAGUGUGGUUUAAUGCUUAGUUUAUGUCAAUGACAAAUGAAAAUUACACUACUAUAAGUGCUAACAUAAAAUAGUGCGAAUGAAAAGUUAGCGUUCCUCAUUUAAUUUCUCGCACAGGAUUUUGAUAUACUUAUGCGUGAGUCUGAAAAUAUAAGUUGUGAGUGUCAAAAUCGCUACUAAUAAAAUUAGACUUACUCUGUCAAGAAGCUGACUCGUUCUGCUAGUGGCAUGAGUCCAAUUAAGCUCAGCGCAAACACCCAAGGCUGUUUAAUAUAAAUUAGAAUGUUGUAGUUGGAGAAAAAAAGUCGCAAUGGUUACAAUCACAAAAGAAUUAAGAACGGUUACGGUCAUAGAAAAGAAAUCAGAAGAGUUACAAGCACAUAAAAGAAGUCAAAACGGUUACGGUCCAAAACAUUUGCGUACAUAAUAUGUAAACAAUAUAAACGCAUUAGAUAUAUGCACCGAGUUUAAACUCAUUGGAUUUAUUUACCAAAUCAUAUAUUGACAUAUCAUUUAGUUUAUGUACAUAUAUACUGGAGUAAUCAAUAUAUGCAUAAUUAUUUGGCUCAUACUUGUAAGGAAUCAUUUCUCCUAACCUUAAAAGAAAAGUUUCUGCAUAAUUGUAAAAUGGCAAGUAAUGCUGCAAGGAGGAAUGUCAAGGGUGAUGCAAGAUACUGGAGAGUAAUGUUGAAGACUGCCAAGACUUUUCAACUAAAGUAUUUCAUACAAGAAGAGAGAAAAAGAAGAUAAAUAUGAUAGAAGAAAAUAGAAGUAAGGGAAGAAGUUUGUAAUUUAGUUUGCCUUACCUAUUUAUAGGGGUGAAAUACAAUAUAUAAACAAAUAUAAAUGGGUUUUUGAAGUUGUUGGGGUCAAGGACAACCAAUGACUCCAUGUUGGCUCGACACUAAAGGGCUUAUAAGAGGUUAUGUUACUUUUCAUAUUAUCAAUUAGUUUUAUGGUGGAAUCCCAACUUUCUUUAAUUAAUUUUAAUCAAGUUUGAAAAAAUGACGUUUUGAAAUUAACUAAAUAAAAAUGUUGUUUUUCACUGUUUUAUUGAAACCCCUAAAGUGAAACUCACUCUUGCAAAGCCAAAGCACUGAGCUGCGAUGGCAAGAGGGAUGGCUGGGAAUAAAACAAAGAGUUUAGUCCCCAGUAAAACCUCUUGCAAAUUCGCCAGAAACUGUCUGAGAAGGGCACAUGGAACUUUGGAGACAAGUGUGCGGUCGGACUUCUUCCGAAGUGAAGAGGAUGACAUGUUGUGCGCAGUCCGUCCAGUCCGGCCGGUCUCCUUGGUUAAACCCUUGAGGGUGCCAUUUUCUAGCAGCCAUGGCUGGUCGGGGUUUGAAGCCAUGAUCGAUGGUGGUUCAACACAAAAAUGUAGAAGAAAAACAAGGCAAGGUAUGCACAGGCUCGCUAUGUAGCUAGCUAGACAGUAUCUGUUGAGAUGAAGUAGACUGAGGAGUUAUACGGUUUAAAUAGAGAGUUGAGAUGUUUUUUGUAUUUGCCAAGUAGGCUUUCAGGAAGUUUCAUUUUUUUAAUUUAAUAUACAGCUUACAGACUUAUUACGUCACAUAUUUCCUAAAAUAAGAGAUAAAAAAAAAUGUAUAUUCGUCCUGCAUUAGACAAUGCUACACUUCUUGAUCCUCUUUUUUUUCAAACUAACAUGAUACUAUAAUGCAGUUGAUUUUUCGAUACAAUAAUAUAACGUGCAAUUAAAAUUCAAAUUUAAUUCUCCAUAAUAUCGUAGUUAAUCUAGUGGUUAGGAUUUGUUAGACCAAGUCCGAGUCUGGUGGUGGUUUCCUCAAAUUCAGGAGGUUGUGAUCAACCUAAACUCUUAUCCAAGAAGAGUUAGAUUAGUUCAAACUUCUUUUCGAAUGUUAGUUGCUUUCCGUAAUACACUUUGUAGCUUCUGUUGUAAAUUUGAAUUUGAAAUAGCCUUGUAAAUAGGGAUUUCAAUCCCUGAUGUAAUCUGAACGUGAAUAUAAAUACAUGCAGCCUCUCUUUGAAAGGGGAUGCAAAUUAAAGUAAAACCUUGGGAGUUCUUAAGUUUUACAUGGUAUACGAGCCCUAGCAGUCUAACGACUUAGAUCCUGAAUUUUUUUUUCCAUGGCUGAUACCACAAACGGCGCUGCAACCUCCACCAACUCUCUUUCAAACCCUACCAUGAAUCCUUUCUCCUCCAUGACUACGGUUGUCAACAUCAAACUGGAUCGAACCAACUAUCCUCUGUGGUUGGCUCAGAUCCUACCAAUCCUCAAGAGUCGUAACCUGAUGGGAUAUGUUGAUGGGUCCAUUGUAUGUCCACCCAAACAUCUUCCUGGUGCUGCUGCUAUCAACCCUGCAUACACAACCUGGGUGCAGCAUGAUCAACUGAUACUCAGCUGGAUCAAUGGCUCUCUUACGCCCUCUGUGUUGUCCGUCGUCGCCAGCAAGAAGUCCUCUCAUGACAGCUGGGAGGCUCUCGAGCAACGGUAUGCUUCUACGUCCCAAAAUCGUAUUUUGUUUCUUCGCAAUGAACUGAUGCAAACUAAGAAAGGAGACAUGUCUAUUGCUGAUUAUCUUGAUCGAAUGAACUCGAUUGCUGAUAACCUUGCCCUAGCUGGCAACCCCGUGAAUGAUGAUGAACUUGUCCAGAUUAUCUUGAACAAUUUGGGCCCUGCCUAUGAAAUGACAGUGAGUGCUGCUCAAGCACGUGAUACUCUAAUCGCGUACCCUACACUUGAGGCCCUCCUACUGACUAUCGAAAGACGCAUGGCUGCACAGAAUGCUCAACCUGUGGAGGCUGCUCCGGUGAAUGCUUUUGUCACUGCCAGAGGUCGUGGUGGACGACUUCGUGGAAAUGGACGUGGUGCUUUUCAGUCCGCACGUGGUGGUGGUGCGGUCAACCCGCGGGGGUUCUUUCCUCGCAACAAUAAUCAAAGGCCAAACUCGGCCUGCAAUGGUGAGAAAAUUACUAACACAGGAGAACGACUCACAUGCCAGAUAUGUGGAAAACAAGGGCAUCCUGCCCUCGAUUGCUAUCAAAGAAUGAAUGCAGUCUAUGAAGGGAGAAUUCCAGCAAAACAGCUUACUGCCAUGGCAACAUCUUCGGUUCCUCUCAAUCGGCAGAAUAAUGGACAGUGGUUUUUGGACACUGGUACUAAUGCUCAUGUGACUCCAGACAUCCAAAAUCUGGUAAACCCACAAGAGUAUAAUGGUAAUCAGAAUGUGGGUGGUGUAGGUAAUGAUACUGGCCUCUCUAUCUCUCAUAUGGGUUUGAAUCAACUACAAACACAAUCUUGCUCAUUUAAAUUGCAAAAUAUUUUAAGAUGCCCCACUGCCUCAACCAAUAUUGUUUCUGCACACCGAUUUACCCUAGACAAUAAUUGCUAUUUACUCAUCUUUCCUCAUUUUUUUCUUGUUAAGGACCUCAAGACCCGGAAGACGCUUUUCCGUGGGCGAUGUGAGAAUGGCUUAUACCCAUUUUUUGGUGGCGGUGGACAGUUCCAUAACCCUAUUUCAAUGUGUCUAGGCAUUCGAGUCUCGGCUCAAAAAUGGCAUUCACGUCUUGGUCAUCCUGCGUCUUCUAUUAUCAAGUUUUUAAUUUCCAAUAAACAAGUCCCAAUUCAUGGUACUGCUGAUGUAACGUUUUGUCAGUCGUGUCCUUUAGGAAAAAGUACUAAGUUACCGUUUAGUACUUCAGAGUCUGUUUCUCAAUUUCCCUUACAACUUUUACAUUCCGAUGUUUGGUGUUCUCCAGUUAUUUCAAUUGAAGGUUUUCGAUAUUAUGUUUUGUUUGUGGAUGAUUAUUCUAGGUACUCUUGGAUUUUUCCCAUGAAAAAUAAGUCUGAAGUGUUUGAAAUAUUUGUUCAAUUUAAAGCUAAGGUCGAAAAUCUGUUUAAUACUUCAAUAAAAACCCUUCAAUGUGAUGAAGGAGGUGAGUACAAAAGUAAAGGUUUUCAACAAUUUCUUGCAACAAAUGGAAUUUCUCAAAGGUUUUCGUGUCCAAAACACCCCGAGCAAAAUGGCCUAGCAGAAAGAAAACAUCGACAUAUUGUUGAAACGAGUAUUGUCAUGCUUUCUCACUCUCACAUUCCAAACAAAUAUUGGUUUGAUGCAUGUUCAACAACAACUUAUUUAAUUAAUCGAUUGCCCACUCGGGUUUUGUCCCAUAAAUCGCCCUAUGAGACAUUGUUUGAAAAACCUCCAAACUAUGAGACCUUAAAGGUGUUUGGUUGUAAGUGCUUUCCUUGGCUUGUUCCUUAUGCACAAAAUAAACUUCAACCCAAGUCAAAACCGUGUGUAUUUUUAGGAUACUCACUGAAUCAUCAAGGGUAUAAAUGUUUGGACCUGUCCACGAGACGAAUUUAUUUGUCUCGCCAUGUCCUAUUCGAUGAGGACUCAUUUCCAUUUAAGGAACUCAUAUCCUUGCGGGAAAACGUUGAUAACACAGGUAGUUUUGGUUCUCCUGAUCUUUUGUUCACAUUUCCUAUACUUUUGUCAGAUACUUCCACCAUUUUGCUGAACCCUACCCACCCUUUAGAGUCCCAAUCCCAGCCAAACAUAACCACGACCAACCCGCAAAAUCCUGCACACCAUACCAUUCCCCAAAAUCCCAUGUUAUCCGAUCCUUCCAACCCGCAAACCACCUUAUCUCUCCCUGACCCUAGUUCCACGAACCAAAAUUUAAAUGAGCAAGCCCCAGUUGUUGCGUCACCCACGCCUCAGUCUCUGCCACUUUCAGAUCACGAUUUUGCUUCAAUAAGGCCGCGCAUGACGACUCGAUCACAGUCUGGAAUACAAAAACCUAAUCUUAAAUAUGCUCUGCAUGUCUCUACUGAUCUUUCUUUAGUUGAACCAACCUGUUUCAGUCAGGCAGUCAAGCACCACAAAUGGAGGGAGGCCAUGGUUCAAGAAUUUAAUGCACUGCAGCGAUGUGGCACGUGGGAGCUUGUUCCUUAUUCUUCACAAAUGAAUGUGCUGCCAAACAAAUGGGUCUUUAAGAUAAAAAGACGGGCGGAUGGCUCUGUCGAGAGGCACAAGGCGAGGUUAGUCGCCAAUGGGUUUCAUCAAUAGCCUGGGCUUGAUUACACCGAGACCUUUAGUCCUGUGGUCAAGCACAGCACCAUACGACUAGUUCUUAGUUUGGCAGUUUCAAAAAAAUGGCAUAUCAGGCAAUUGGAUGUACAAAAUGCUUUCUUGCAUGGCUUUCUGAAAGAGAAAGUAUAUAUGCGACAACCUGCAGGUUUCAUUGAUGAGCAACAUCCAACACAUGUCUGCAAAUUGCAAAGGAGUAUAUACGGAUUGAAACAAGCUCCGAGAGCUUGGUUUCAACGCUUUUAAGAGUUUUUGCUUCAAUUAAGGUUUCGAGCAUCCACGUGUGAUUACAGUUUAUUUGUUUUCAAUCACUCUGGUGUCUACUUGAUUCUAUUGAUCUAUGUAAAUGAUAUCUUGUUGACAGGGAACAGUACUCGCUACAUGUCUAGCUUAAUACGUAAACUGGGAACUUUGUUUUCAAUGAAGGACUUGGGACCUUUUCAUUACUUUCUGGGUGUCGAAGUAACCUAUUGUGGUGCUCAAAUGCAUUUGAAUCAGGCCAAGUAUGCUGUGGACUUGCUUAAGCGUACAAAGUUUUUGGAUGCUAAACCAAUUUCCACUCCAGUUUCUUGCGGACAGAAACUCAGUGCUUACACUGGUGAGCCACAUGACAAUUCUGAGAUGUAUCGAAGUGUUGUCGGAGCACUUCAGUAUUUAACUAUCACGAGACCAGACCUCUCUUAUGCAGUAAACCAGGUAUGUCAGUUCAUGCACUCUCCAAAGAAUACUCACUGGAUGGCAGUUAAGCGGAUCCUUCGAUAUGUUAAAGCCACAUACAAUCAUGGUCUUGUGUAUAAACCUGGUUCUGCACACCUUACAGCGUAUUCUGAUGCUGAUUACGCGGGGAAUCCUGAUACACGGCAUUCCACAGGUGGCUUUUGCAUUUACUUAGGGUCCAAUCUCGUGUCUUGGAGUUCUAAAAAGCAGAAAACUGUCAGUAGGUCAAGUUCAGAAGCUGAAUAUCGGCAGCUUGCUUAUACUGCUGCAGAAGUAUCAUGGUUCCGGUCUUUAUUUCGUGACCUACACUUGCAUCUUGAUCGACCAACAAUUUGGUGUGACAAUGUUUCCUCCAUUGCCCUCGCUUCAAAUCUAGUUUUUCACUCCCGUACAAAGCACUUGGAGGUGGAUUAUCAUUAUGUUCGUGAGAAAGUGGUUCGUCAAGAGUUAUUUGUGAAUUUCAUAUGUUCUCAAGACCAGAUUGUUGAUCUUUUUACAAAAGGAUUGUCCUCUUCACGGUUCAAGCAUCUUGUUUCCAAGCUUCCAGUUGUUUCUCCUCCUGUCAGCUUGCGGGGGGCUGUUAGACCAAGUCCGAGUCUGGUGGUGGUUUCCUCAAAUUCAGGAGGUUGUGAUCAACCUAAACUCUUAUCCAAGAAGAGUUAGAUUAGUUCAAACUUCUUUUCAAAUGUUAGUUGCUUUCCGUAAUACACUUUGUAGCUUCUGUUGUAAAUUUGAAUUUGAAAUAGCCUUGUAAAUAGGGAUUUCAAUCCCUGAUGUAAUCUGAACGUGAAUAUAAAUACAUGCAGCCUCUCUCUGAAAGGGGAUGCAAAUUAAAGUAAAACCUUGGGAGUUCUUAAGUUUUACAAGGAUUAAGAGAGGUCCAAAUUCAAUUCUUGAUAAUAAGCUAAUAACCACACACAAAUAUCUUACUUUGGUAAAUGUUGAUUAUAUGAGAAACCAACUAAAUAAUAUUUGCAGUUUGAGGAAUUUUGGUGUGGUAGUGUUCCUUUUAUAUAUGUAACAGUUGGUGAUUGAGAUCUAUGUGCAUAUAACAGUAUGAAAUUUUGAGUACCCAUGCAGUAUGAAAUUCUUUUUCUUGCAUAAUUUAGUCCAGGUCAAUGCUAUCACUCAGCUUUAAUUUAUAUCUUUUGCACCUGAAUUUUGCAGUUCAAAAUAUACAUCUGAUAAUAUGUUUAAUUAAAAAAUGGUCCAGAAGAUUGCAUUUACUCUGGGUAAGAUAUAAGGAAUUAAUUAAUAGACCAGUGUCGGCCGGCAGCGGUAGGCGUGUACAUUAUAUAGGGUAUAUCAAAUUAGAAAGGUACUCGUAAAUCGACAAUUUAGCAAGUUGACGUUUAUUAAUUACGAACAUAAUAAGCCAAGGGCUAUAGACUUGCAACAGAUAAUUCAUAAUAUAUGCUUCUUACUAUUACGUUCUAGUACUAUUUCUCUUUACUUGUAACUUGUAAGUAAGAGAUUUUAGGUUCGAUUAUCACCAAAGACGAAUUUGAACCACAUUAGUGUAGAUAAUAUCAUUUAUUCAAAAAAAAAAAAAUUCAUGAUAUAUGUUGUUUGGUAUAGAGGAUUGUAUUAGAAUGAGAAACACUCUAAAUUCAAGCACUACAAGAGGCGUAAGUUAUGGAAUUUUACAUGAUGCCCAAAAAUAUAAAUGAAUCAUUUUUUAUUUUGAGGAGAUCGUCAUUUUAUGGUGGAUAGGAAUCUAUAAGUUUUCUUUUUGAGUAAUAUUCAUACCUCCAAGAUAGUAACAAAUUUGCCAUUUCUUCCUUUCAACAUACCUUGCAAAUAUUGUGUUAUCUAUUCAAAUCUAAUCCUCAUAUUGCUAAUUAAUUAAACGAGUAGUAUAUUCAUAGCAAUCAAGAAAGAAAAAAACGGCAUCCUAUUUUUGACUGAAGAUAAAAUACUUGUUGUGCAAUUCAUGAAAGAACAGGCAAAAAUCAGUAGAGAAAGAAAAGUUGCAUAAAACCCACUAGAAGAAAGAAUACAGAUAGAAAAUUAUUAUAGAAAGUUAAAAUAAAUUUAUAGUAUGAGAAGCAACUCAAUCGCUUAUAAGUUCUUGCAAAGUUUUUACAUUCACUGAUGUGGAGUCUUUUACCUUCACAUCCUCCAACGGCCUCUCACGUGUGGCGCAUUUUCAAGCCAAAGAUGUGAACCACACGAAUUGGGUGAAAUGAAGCAUGUGGUGCCAUUUGGCACACGUGAAUAACAUGCUCUGAUACUAUGAAGAAAUUUGAGAUUCUACCAUUAAAGCAAUUGACAAUAUAAUGGGGAGUACCUCAAUCUCUUAGACCUGCUCCAACUCUUAAAGUAAAACUCAAAUUUUAUAUUUUAAACCUACCCCAAUUUGCUCCAACCCUUGGGCCAAAUAUGACUUUUAACCCAAAACUCAUUAAUAGGGAAAUUUAGCCUAGAAUUUCCCCUAGGUUAGCGGGCUUGGCCAAUAUAUGUAUUUUUUUUAGGAAAACUAAUGAAAAUGGCUUGAAAACUUUAAGUUUUAACGAUAAGGAUAAAAUAAAGGGUAAAGUGAAUAGUACCAUGAUUGACUUUUUAGUGUAAAAAUGUGGUUUUUCGUUAAAGUGAACAGUACAAGGAGCUUUUAGUUAAAGUUCCCAUUUUUUUUUUAGUUUUUAUAUUUAUGAAUUCAUUGAAUCCAAUGGCUAAGACCUAAAAUAAUAAAAUCUAAUGGUAAAAAAAAAAAGAUCUAAUGGUCAAAAUUUAAAUCCAACUGCUAAACUAAUUCCAAAAAAAAAAAAAAAAAAAAAAAAAAAAACUUUCAUUUGUAUCAUAUUCUUCCAUAGUAUUCCACGAGUUUCAUGAUGUCGGUUUAGUGAUUUUGAAUAUUUACCUGAAUCUAAAUAUUUUUAGGUUAAAAUGUUCAUAAAAUAAAAUUAGAAUUACAUAAUUUUUUUUAAAGUUACCUUAAGAACAAAAUUAUCCUAAAUUCUUUCCUUAAUAAUUGCGGCUAAAAAUUUAAUCUAGAAGGGUUGGAGCAUAAAAACGGUUUUUGGGUUAAAACCUAAAUUUUCUAGUUUAAAAAUUUUAAGUUCUAACCCAGAAGUUGGAGAUGGUCUUAUAAGUGCUUGCAAGAUUUUCCUUUCACCAAUGUGGGACAUCCUCACAAAUCCUCUCAAGUGUGGCGAAUUUUCAAGUCAAGCACUUGAAUAACACAAAUUGGGUGACAUAGAGCACGUGUUGCCGUUGGACACACAUAGGUCAACAUGCUCUGAUAGUAUGAAGAAAGUUGGGAUUCCACCAUGAAAGCAAUUGAUAAUAUUAUGGGAAGUAGCUCAACCUCUUAUAAGCCCUUGCAAGAGACAUUUUCACAAGCCUCUCACAUGUGGCGAAUUUUCAAGCUAAACACAUGAACAACAAGAUGAGGUGACAUGGAGCAUAUGUGGCCUUGGGGUUUCACACGUAGGUCAACUUGACUUGAUACUUGAAGAAAGUUGGAGUUCCCCCAUAAAACAAAUUGGCAAUAUGGGGACUAGCCCAACUUAUGGGGAGUAGCCCAAUUUGGGAUUCUUUUGUUAGAAUGUGAAGGUAAAAGAAUCCUACAUUGGUGAAAAGAUAAGCUUUGCAAUGACGUAUGAGAGGUUGGGCUACUCCCCAUAUUGCCAAUUGGUUUUAUGGUGGAAUCCCAACUUUCUUCAUGGUAUCAGAGCAGGUUGGCCCACAUGUGAAGCCCAAUGGGCACACGUGCUCCACAUCACCCAAUUCAUCUUGUCCACAUGUUUGGCUUGAAAAUCCCCACAUGUGAGGGGGCGUGUGAGAAUGUGAAGAUAAGAGUCCUACAUUAGUGAAAGGAUAAACCUUGCAAUGACUUAUAAGAGGUUGUCUACUCCUCAUGUUGCCAAUUGAUUUUAUACGGAACCCUAACUUUCUUAUCUUCACAUCCUCACAACCAUUAACGUUUUUUUUAAUAAUUAAUUAAAUAAUUUCACAUUGAUUUUAAACCACGUAUAUCCAAUAUAAUUAUGAGGAAAAAAAAAAACAAAUAAGUCCAACGGUUAGCACAAAAAAAAUUAUACGCAAAAUAUUUUCUAUGGAGACAACAAAGAGAAAUAAUAUUAACGAUGGUGAUGUCAUGACCAUACAUAUGCAAAUAUACAAUUGCGUAUUAAUUGGGCCAAAUGCAUGCCACAUGUAUCAGAUAAUGACUGAGAACUCUCAGAAGUAGUUGUGUACACAACCCUACGUAUACUGACAUACGAACCUUCCUGGAAACUCCUCGAUGGAUCGAUUAUCUCUGAUCAUAUCUCUAAAUUUUAAUCUCAAGUAGGACGGUUAUGCUUAGCUUUCCAUGCUCGAACAAAAUCUCGAGUGACCUAUAUCAUGAAGUUCUUGCUAGGCAGGAAUGGCAGGCUCACAUAGAGUUGCACAUGAGCAUAUACGAUCGUUUUUGUUUUUGAUUCGAUAUUUGUUUGUUUGCUUUGGAUGGUCUCUGCCUAUUACCCGUUGAUUUUACGUUGGAUAUUCACAUUCCAACGUGACGAUGUCUCUCGAGAUGCCUAUGUAGGAAUAAGAGACUGCAUAGGGAAAGAAAAGAUUAAUUUACGUAUCAACUAUCAAGCCACUUUCUUGCUUAAUUACCAUACACAUACAAUACAAAACUACCUUCUUUUAUGCACUUGGGUAUGUUUAUAAUUAGAACAAAUUAACGAGUCGUAAUCAACUAAUUAACAAGAAGCAAAGUGACAAAAACAGGGAAGGUAGAAAGAAAUUUCGUGCUAUAUCAUACUAUUUAAGGACAAAUUCCUAUAUAUAUGUUUGCGGCUCGAUUAGAUUUUCAAUUGUGCACAAUAUUUAUAGAUGAUUUCGGGUGUCCAAGUUUGAAACUGCGCUAUCAACGGUUGUAUUGUUUGAAGGGUUUAAUUCUUGCUAGUUGCUUAUUUAGUUGUAGAAUUUAUGCUCCAUUUAAUUUGCUUAUUUUUACUGCAUUCUAUCAUGUGUUCAAUAACGUAUGUACACGUAUGCUCAUGACCCUACUCUUAAUUUUCAGCUUUGAAUUUCUGGUAUAAGUUGCUUUCACAACUUCUUAAAUAUAAAAUCUUCUUUGGGGUUACUCUAUUCAUGAAGAUUAUUAAGCAACCAAAUUUACAUUUGAUUUGUAUUUUCUUAUUCAUAAGUUGAUCUCUACUGUCUCUGUGUUUGAGAUAUAAGGAAAGUAUAUUAUAGAAGCGGUGAAGAAGAGAGGUGGGAGGGAGAGAGGAAGAAACAAAUUAAGAAGAAUAAAUUAAAAAAAAGUCUUGAAAGUAUAACAAAUUUUUUUUUUGAACAAACGAUAAUAUCUAUAUUAAGAGGAUGAGGGAGUUGGUUAAGUUUUAAAAUGUGCUUGCAAUAAUAAUGUGGUUCAAUUUCGCAUUUGACGAGAAUUGAAACCUCUCACUUACAAGUGAAGAUGAAUACCACUAGUUAGGCCGUUGUACUAAGCAACUUAAAAGUAUAACAGUUACAGUAGUUUUUUUGUUUUAAGUUUUCUUUUAUGUGCAUUUCACCUAUCUCUCCGUAAAAAAAAAAAAUAAAA